GUCCCCCCUCCUUUCUGCUGUGACUUCCGUGCCGGCAGCGUUCAGCGUGGAGUUUAGCGUGACUGUUUGGAUUACUUCUCGUGAGUUUAAGUCGCGGGCUCGUAUUCGAUUGCCGGCUCAGCGCUGUGGUAUGCAUCUCUGAUGUUGCCUGGGCACUUUCACUUUAGAAAGGUAAUUUCUGCCUGUUUCCUUUUAUAUAUGUUCUGGCAGUGAGUACAGCUUUUGGCUACCUUAUUUCUUGGGUGGUGGGAUAGUGUUAGUGAUUGUGCUGCCUUGCUGCGGGCAUUGUCUGCUGGAGCUGUUGGCUGUAGCCAUUGUCAGCUGGAGCUGCUGUGUGUUAUUACCUGCUGCUGUCUGCUGUGGCCAUUGUUUGCUGUGGCUGCUGGCAGAAAUUGAUGCUGUGCUGGAGCUGGGGGCCAAGCAUCUGACUUGGGGAUGUGGAAUUCUAUUCACCUUUCCUGUAGUGUGGAGCACGUUGGGUGUGAUUGAGAUGUGUGGCACUGACAUGUGUGGUUUGUAGUGUAGAGGAUAUUCCUAUCUCUGUACUUCCUUCGGUCGUGGUAAGCCCUUAACCCAGUUCCUUCCUAAAUUGUUACUGGUAGUUUAAAUAAAUUAUUGCUAGUUCUUUUUUUAUAUUGAUUCUCCAAGAAGGGAAUUCCUGGUCUGCCUGGUGGAAAAGAUGUUUUAAAAUAAUUGUCAAUAAAUCUCUAUUAAAUGAUUGUA